UUGAAGUUUGCCUAAUCAGAAAUUCUUUCCCAUUUCAUUUGAUGAGUGAACAGCAGUCUGCCUCAUAAUUCAUAAUAGCAUCAGAUAAUAUGACGAAAACCAUGUUUUUGAAAAUCUCAUGUCUGGACAUCAUGUUCUCAUAGCUACAUGAAAAAGAUUUUACUAUGUCUCCUGGGCCGAAUCCUACAUGACAGAAUUAGUUCGUUUACUCUAUCUGCGCCGUGCUGUCACGUGUUUUAUGUUAACAGUGAGUGCUUCGUCACUUUGCGGAAGUUGCUUAUCUUUACGAGGACUGAGACGGCUUGUCAGGAAACGGCGAGCGUCCAGGAAACGACGAGCGGCCGGGAAGCGGCGUCGGGCACGAUGUGAACCGAGUUCCCCUUCCAACGCGACCGGGAGCAUGAGACAGACUUUCGUGCUGACGUGGACACCGAUGCAAAAGUAAAAUGGGUCACCAGUGAGCUACAGAUCAUGGCACAGGAACUCAGAAAAAGCGACCGAUCCAAAUCCGCGGUGGAACCCUGCUGCCAUGCCUGUUCCUGUUCCCUUUACCUGCUCGGAUUCCUUCAACAUGCGGUGCUGUAACAGGAGGGUGCCAAUAAAAGGUCUCUAAUUGAGAAUCGAUGUUAGUGCCGGCGGCACCUGCGGUUGGCUCGCGCGCCCCUGUGACCAUGGAAACGUGCAUGCUCAAGUCACGACGAGACCAGUAGGAUCCCGCCGCCUCGUUAUGUGCGAGCUCGCCAGCUCUUUAGUCACGGGCAAUCAAAGGCGAAGAACGCUCACCAGUUAAUUUAAAUACCACGAACACCAUGCUCUCUAUUUUAUUCUCAGUAGAAGCAUGUGGACUGGUCACUCUGUUAAUAUGGCCACAGUAGGGAUGGGACUCAUUUGAUUGGUAGGCCCAUCAGUUUGCGGGGUCUGGUGUGUUUCCUCUUUCUCCAGACUUCCUGAGCUAUCUACCACAGGUUGAGGCCCAUGUUUACAAUUUUAUCAGCAGCCUUUGUUUUGUGUUAUGCUGAACAAAUGCACUGUGUACACAAUGUUUCAGAUUUUACAUGCCACAUAAAAAUCACCCGCAAAAAAUAGCAGUUAAGUAUUUCAUUAAAAUGCAACAGUAAGUAUUGUCUUUGUUCACAUAAUAGAAAAGAUAACAUGGGCACUGAAGUAGACAAACUGGGACCAUUUGACGCACUAAUAAUUGCAUGGAACAGUACCUCCAGUGUAUUUAUGGACUGCAUCAGAUGUGGGAUCUAUUUUGAGGAGCGGAAUUUUGGAGUGCAAAGAGCAGGUGAUAACAAGAUCCAAUUAUACCGAACUGAACAUGCCAAUUUACAAAGUGAUACCAAUUACAAAUCCCCUCAGAGUAGUUAGUUGGUAUUAGUUAGGUCACAUGACAUGAUUCUUUACACAAACGGAUUGGAACUGGGCGGGGAGUGCUCCUGUGCUGAUUUAUUCUGGAUUGCCGGUCUUUGUAAAACAGUAAUUUACCAGAAACCAGUUGAAAGCGUUACGUAGGUGUGAAUUGUUUGUUAAGGCAGAUCUUGGCAGUUACUAUCUUUGGAUUCAUUGUUGUCAGGUUUAACAUGAAGUUGCUAGAGGUCUGUGCAAAGUGCUUAGCACACCCCAGAUACUCCUUGGGGCACUGAUUAAUUAGAUAAAUAUUCCUGAAAGCCAUUUAGCAUAAGCUUUAAACACAAUACGUUCUAUAAAAUAAACUGUUAACAUCUGAGAAGAAUUGCUCUGGUCAUGUCACAAAACAAAAUUUGUGGUAUUUUUUUUAGAGUUUUCUCUGAGCACACACACAUAAACUGAAGGUGUAAUAACCUGCAGGCCAUAAACAAACAUUCCAUUAAUAAUGAUAUCCUUCUGUAUCUAAAAUGAAAGCAUUUACAUUCCUAUGUGAUAAGGAUAGUAAAAAUGUAUAUAUAUUUUUUUUUUUAAAUCAACGUAAGCAAAAAAUAAUAACAUUAAUCCAUUUCUUUACAGAGAGAGAGAGGCAUUUCUAUUUUCUCACUGGAAAGUUUGGUUUAUUAUGAUGCAAAUAUCCCCACAGAUAUUGUGCAGUUGGUGAAAGAAGUGUUCUGAUAUGAUCACAAAGGCGCUUUAGGAUGUUUCAUUCAAUAAAUGGGAUUUUACUGGGGAUGUCACUGUCUGAAAGAAAAGCUUAACACUAGCAAGAUGUUAGCAUUUAUUCCAAUAUCUAUCUUCAGCAGCAGGUUUAUACAUAUGAAAACAGAGAAAUAAGGAAGUCUAAGAGGAAACAGGGUGGUGUGUGUGUUUUCCUUCACAGGACUCCACCUACAACCCCUGACCUCAAUUACAGUG